rnacentral:rRNA from 1 species
AUUGAACGCUGGCGGCAUGCUUUACACAUGCAAGUCGAACGGUAACAGGCCUUCGGGUGCUGACGAGUGGCGAACGGGUGAGUAAUGCAUCGGAACGUACCCAGAGGUGGGGGAUAACGCAGCGAAAGCUGUGCUAAUACCGCAUGUGAUCUGAGGAUGAAAGCGGGGGACCGAGCAGCAAUGUUUGGCCUCGCGCCUUUGGAGCGGCCGAUGUCGGAUUAGCUAGUUGGUGGGGUAAAGGCCUACCAAGGCGACGAUCCGUAGCUGGUCUGAGAGGACGACCAGCCACACUGGGACUGAGACACGGCCCAGACUCCUACGGGAGGCAGCAAUGGGGAAUUUUGGACAAUGGGCGCAGGCCUGAUCCAGCAAUGCCGCGUGCGGGAAGAAGGCCUUCGGGUUGUAAACCGCUUUUGGCAGGAACGAAACGGUGUCCGCUAAUACCGGGCGCUAAUGACGGUACCUGCAGAAUAAGCACCGGCUAACUACGUG